GUCAGGCUAGCAUACGCAUGGUUUUAUAAAUUUGAUUUUUUUUGUGCGUACGCAGAAUCUAGCUUUUGCGCGUACGUACACUUUUAGUAGGGAUCCUACGUACAGUUUUAUAAAUGAGACCCCAGGUCAGCAGCAAUCAUCUUGGACAGAUGUCCGGGGCAUCUUGCUGACAUCUCUGACUAUUUUCCUCUCCAGAGUUCUUGAAAUCUUGCACUUACGACCACACCCAGAAAGACUGACCAACCAUGAAUCCAGCAGCACAAAUACCACGUCUCCGUUAGAAAGACCUCCCGAUCGAGGACUAUGUUCAAUACUUUAUUGAACUGGCUCAUCUCACCAAGUUGGACACGGUCGCAGAGGAGGAACGCGACAUUCCUGCUGUACCGGCCACACUGAGCCUCUUCAGGACAUGACCACCAUGCCCAUUAGUCCCUUGCCAUUCCAUCACAAACUACAUUUCCCAUAAACCUUUGCCUAGACUCAUUGUUGUGUGAUUACAUCCACCUGUGUCAUCAAGACAGCAGCCUGAAAAACGAGCGCAGCUGGAAGAAAACAAAACUAGAGGUUACCAUAGUCAGCCGUAUCCGGUCCGUAUCCAGAUCAGAUGGUGGACCUGCACCUAUAAUGGCAUUGUCAAUUACAGAACUUAAGAAAAUUCCAAUGAUAUCAGAGACCACAUCCAGUUCUUCACAGAAGGAGUCUUUAAAGUGGUUCUACGUCAGAACGGCGACUCAUUAUUGGCCGGCUCCUCGUGCUGCUCAUGCAAGGGCAUAGAUUUGGUUUCAACUUUGGGGGGGUUGAACAUUGGUAUGGUUGUAUUGUAUUGGGGGGGUUACCUCCCCCCCAUCCCCCCCACAAACUACGCCCCUGUGCUCAUGUGAACAGCAGCUUGCAAAUACUGAGCCAGCGUUCUGAUGUAAAACCUGGAAGCGCUGGACGUAAACAGUGUAAAAGAAUUAUCCAAUAAUAAAGCAAAUUGAAUCGAACAUCUCCGAUUUUUUUGUGUACGAUAUGCCAGCAGAUUAUGAGCACAUGAUUAUCCUUCUAACUCAGUAACACUUACACAUGUGUAGUGAAAUGGUCCAUAGGGUUUGAAGAAUAUACACAGUCAGUAGGGUUUGAAGAAUAUACAUAAACAUUAUCAACUUAAACUGCAGGCUCACUAAUGGUUUGUAUAAAUAAAUGGUAUAAAUAAAAAUAACAAAUGCAAUUGAUUUAAUUGAACUCUAUUGACUAGUUGAUAAAUUGUGACCAUAGUGUCACACUUUGAAGCUUUUGUAGGUGCUUUGAUUCAUUUUUACACAGUCAUGCUGUCUCCCUCUUUAUUCCGGGAAAGAAAGUUGUUAUACUGAGCUUGCGUGAUGCUCUUCUCUGUAAUUUCGGCAAGGCCUUGUUCAAUAAUUCAGUCUAACAUUUUCUCAGAGCACGGUGAUUCAGGAUCCCAGUGCACCAGCAAGCAUCAGCUUGCCAUUAUUACGCCUCGCUGGACUAAAGGUAACAAGCAUCCAACCCCCCAACUCACUAGAGAGAAAGAGUGAGAGUGAGGGAAAUAGAGAGAGAAUGACUCCCAUCAUUGCUGAAAAUCCACCACCCCCU